rnacentral:rRNA from 1 species
GCAGAGCACUCCUACGGGAGGCAGCAGUGGGGAAUCGUUGCGCAAUGGGCGAAAGCCUGACGCAGCCAUGCCGCGUGGAUGAUGAAGGUCUUAGGAUUGUAAAAUCCUUUCACCGGGGACGAUAAUGACGGUACCCGGAGAAGAAGCCCCGGCUAACUUCGUGCCAGCAGCCGCGGUAAUACGAAGGGGGCUAGCGUUGCUCGGAAUUACUGGGCGUAAAGGGCGCGUAGGCGGACAGUUAAGUUGGGGGUGAAAGCCCGGGGCUCAACCUCGGAAAAUGCCUUCAAUACUGGCUGUCUUGAGUACGGGAGAGGUGAGUGGAACUCCGAGUGUAGAGGUGAAAUUCGUAGAUAUUCGGAAGAACACCAGUGGCGAAGGCGACUCACUGGCCCGUUACUGACGCUGAGGCGCGAAAGCGUGGGGAGCAAACAGGAUUAGAUACCCUGAUAG